UAAAAGGAACGAUCGUUGUGAUAUGCGUUGUUCCCUAACAUAUCACAGUGAUUUUCCUUUAUAA
ncrna:Drosophila erecta microRNA der-mir-5 precursor